CUCUAAUUUACAGACUUUUGCACGACGCACGAUCCAAAUAGUUUCUUGCACUCAUUUUUUUGUUUCCACUUCUAUUUCUAUCACAUGGAAGAUUGAAGUAUGCACCGAUACCGUUUAAUUUUGCAUCUC
ensembl:ncRNA C39B10.11 ncRNA